rnacentral:rRNA from 1 species
UACGUAGGGUGCGAGCGUUAAUCGGAAUUACUGGGCGUAAAGCGUGCGCAGGCGGCUUCGCAAGUCAGACGUGAAAUCCCCGGGCUUAACCUGGGAAUGGCGUUUGAAACUACGGAGCUGGAGUGUGGCAGAGGGAGGUAGAAUUCCACGUGUAGCGGUGAAAUGCGUAGAGAUCGGGAGGAACAUCAGUUGCGAAGGCGGCUCUCUGGACCAGCACUGACACUGAGGCACGAAAGCGUGGGGAGCAAACAGG